GUUUAUUGUCCUUAUUUUUGGAAGAUGAGGCUAUGAGUGGUUUUUUUCUUUGUUCUAUGAGUUUCUGCAAAGAACAUGGCUACUUUAUUUCUCACGGCUACUUUUUCAGAAAAAAUUUUAUUUACAAUAUUAAAAAGUAAUCUAGCUUAUAAAAAUCAUAAGUAUAAUAAACCCUCAUAUUUAUAUGGCUUUAUUUUAAGAUAAUUUAAGAAUUUUGGACUGGGCAGAUUUUACUCAACCUGAGGCAACUAGUGAGAAAUGUUUAAUGAAUAAAUUUAUAAUCUAAAUGAAAUCACAUCACACCAAUUUAUGAAGUCGGUCUUGUAGAGCUCACUUUGCAGAUAAGAAAAAUGGAGCAUAUAGAAUAAGGUAACUUGCUCAGAGUUUCAUUGCAAGGAAGUGGAGGUUGGGCUUAGAGUGGUUUUAUUCCAGAGCUUUUCCUUCUGUCGUCAGUACUGCCCAGCGUCUGCCCCGUCUUCCCAGGACACAGUGUGCAGGGGUCUGCCACCAGCUCCUGAGCGUCUGCAUCUUCUUUGCACCAGUCUGACUCUUGGCACCAGUGGUCAUGGCAGCUGUGGGAGGUCUUCCAGGGCCUCCGAGUCUGGACAUGUACCUGGGCACAGUCAGGGAGGAAAGGAGCUUCUGAAGAAAGCAGACUGUCGAUGCCCCACAUCAGCCCUGAGGGGCCUCCCUAAGUGGACCAAGGCCCAGCCAGCAUGUGGUCAUUGAAGACGCAGAAACGAAGCAAGGAACGAAAGGACUGAUCGUCCUAGUCAUCCAGGGCCACUGGUGAACAUCCACCUGGCACCAGGGUGUGCCUCUGGCUUUCCUCUUCACUCCUGAUCAGAGACCAGACACUGGUGUUGCUUGUUUGUAGAUUUUUGGCUUGUGGAGACAAAUUAUUUGAUAAAGAUAAGUCCAAGGUUAUGGUUCGAUUGCUCUGUAGAACAUGAACCUGCUUUGUCUCCAAAUUGAAAGGCUUGAUUUAGUCAACUCCAGCUCUUCCGAUGCCCUCUGCACGGUGGGGCUCUGACACGGGGGGCGGGGGGCAGAGGGGAAACACUGUCCAUGUCCUAAGGGGCUACAACCACUGGGACUGGGUGUCCUGCAGAUGCUGCUCUGCGGAUGGGAUGUGUCCAGUGGCUGGCUCUGAGUCCAUUUGUCCCUAUGUCUGGAUUGGCUCCGGACCUGUUGGUGCAGGUUGGGCUGAUAAGUUUUUGCUGAGGCACGCCUCUCUCCAUUUCUCUGUCUGCUGAAAGAUUGUGAAUAAAGGAGCUUCUGGACUUGU